rnacentral:rRNA from 1 species
ACGAACGCUGGCGGCGUGCCUAAUACCUGCAAGUUGAGCGCUGAAGGUUGGUACUUGUACCAACUGGAUGAGCAGCGAACGGGUGAGUAACGCGUGGGGAAUCUGCCUUUGAGCGGGGGACAACAUUUGGAAACGAAUGCUAAUACCGCAUAAAAACUUUAAACACAAGUUUUAAGUUUGAAAGAUGCAAUUGCAUCACUCAAAGAUGAUCCCGCGUUGUAUUAGCUAGUUGGUGAGGUAAAGGCUCACCAAGGCGAUGAUACAUAGCCGACCUGAGAGGGUGAUCGGCCACAUUGGGACUGGGACACGGCCCAAACUCCUACGGGAGGCAGCAGUAGGGAAUCUUCGGCAAUGGACGAAAGUCUGACCGAGCAACGCCGCGUGAGUGAAGAAGGUUUUCGGAUCGUAAAACUCUGUUGGUAGAGAAGAACGUUGGUGAGAGUGGAAAGCUCAUCAAGUGACGGUAACUACCCAGAAAGGGACGGCUAACUACGUG